rnacentral:lncRNA from 1 species
GGGCAAGCCCGAAACCAGGGGGCGGGAAAGUACCCUCCACCCACAAGGAAACCAUGGCAAGCGGUGGUUGCAGACGCAAAAACCAAGGCCAAACAGCUGAGUUUUCUGCCCUGGAGGAGGAAAGUGGUCUCUGAAAGCCAGAAGACUCUCACAUUACAUAAUUCCUGCCAGCUGCUGUCAAGAGCUGCUAAGCUGUCCUCAAGUCCUGUGUCUGAUGUCAAGCUAAUAACAGAUUUAGGGUGCAUUAGUAAAGGUAUCUUAAUCAAGUCUAGAUGCCUUCGAGAUUAGACUCAGCCAUGAUGAGCAGCUAAGGAUUAGCAAGAAAGAUUACAAAUUGUUUCCAGGAAUUUAUUUCUUUCAACACUGAUUAUAUGUAUAGUCUUAAGUCAAAUUAAAAUGUUGUUUAUGUUCAGCUGUUUUUGUGAGUUAUCACAGUUUUGUCAAUUGAAA